CCUACGGGGCGCAGCAGUGGGGGAUAUUGGACAAUGGGGGGAACCCUGAUCCAGCGACGCCGCGUGAGUGAAGAAGUAUUUCGGUAUGUAAAGCUCUGUCAGCAGGGACGAAAGAAAUGACGGUACUUGACAAAGAAGCCCCGGCUAACUACGUGACAGCAGCCGCGGUACUACGUAGGGGGCAAGCGUUAUCCGGAAUUACUGGGUGGAAAUGUAGCGUUGGCGGUUAAGUAAGUCUGUCGGGGAAGGCCGGGGCCCAACCCCGGAAAUGCACAGGAGACUACUGGACUAGAGUGCAGGAGAGGGAAGCGGAAUUCCUAGUGUAGCAGUGAAAUGCGUAGAUAUUAGGAAGAAAACCGGUGGCGAAGGCAGCCUGCUGGACGGUGACUGACGCUGAGGCUCGAAAGCGUGGGGAGCAAACAGGAUUAGAUACCCCAGUAGUC
rnacentral:rRNA from 1 species